AUUGAACGUUGGCGGCAUGCUUUACACAUGCAAGUCGAACGGUAACAGGUCUUCGGGAUGCUGACGAGUGGCGAACGGGUGAGUAAUGCAUCGGAACGUGCCCAGUCGUGGGGGAUAACGCAGCGAAAGCUGUGCUAAUACCACAUAAUCCCCACGGGGGAAAGCAGGGGAUCUUCGGACCUUGCGCCUUAUGAUGAGCCUACAUCGGAUUAGCUAGUUGGUGGGUAAAGGCCUACCAAGGCGACGAUCCGUAGCUGGUCUGAGAGGAUGACCAGCCACACUGGGACUGAGACACGGCCCAGACUCCUACGAGAGGCAGCAGUGGGGAAUAUUGGACAAUGGGCGAAAGCCUGAUCCAGCAAUGCCGCGUGUGUGAAGAAGGCCUUAGGGUUGUAAAGCACUUUCAGUGGGGAGGAAGUUGUAGAUGCUAAUACCAUUUGCAAUUGACGUUACCCACAGAAGAAGCACCGGCUAACUCUGUG
rnacentral:rRNA from 1 species